CCGACAUGGGCACAUGUGCUGGCGCUGCAGGCGCGUCACGCGCGCCGCUCACUACCGUUAGUCUCUGGGCAUUGUGCGUUGAAAGACAGCGACAGCGUUCACAGGCUUUCGAAAUCGGCAAUGCAAGAGGAACCGACACCAACUGCAGUAGAUAACGGGCCUGGUUAUCGCUUUCAGGCGCCAGGCCCACAUUCCCCGAAACCGCGCUACACGAUACGGUACGCUGAGACAAAAGCUACUUGGCAGAAGCUGUCCGACACCAGACGAACAAGGAUGCUCAACCCACGGGACGACAGGGGAUUAUCCUUGCACAGCUGCGCGGGGGCACCUGUCCGCACCUCGGGUCCCCGCAGCGGCGGGUGACUAGCAGAGACAAGAUGGCGCCCUAUAUCUACUAAUCCGCUGGCAUUGUGGGGCGCCCCCGUGCCACUUUGGUACGACAAGCCAUGAGAUCUCUGUGCGCAGGUAAAUGCUUAUCCGCCGGCCCCCUCUACCCUCGACACACACACUCGUGUCAGAGGCGUGCGGAUUCAGAAGAGGGCGGAAUGCCCCCAUCCCCUGCAGCCACAGGCCAAUGGCAUCGACGGAAAUGGAAGAUGAAGAGGACCGAGCCCUCCCCUCUCUCCCUCAGGCAGCAACGCCCUUCUGAAGCAGACCCCACGAUCCGCUAGUGCGAGCGUUGUGCGCACGCGCUGUCAUACACAGGUGGCGUGGCGUAUCGCAUUGGGCCAAGGCAUGCAGAGGUGGAAAGAGCGCGACCAAGGAGCGAAAACAAGGCGUGAAGAGAUCCGUACCCAUCACCCCCUCCCCUACAGCGCAUGUGUGCGAAGCGCGUGGCACCUGCUGCAUCCGGCCGGGUGGGCCGAUGAGGUGCAGAUGCCGGCAGCAUGACGAGAGCACCCUCGAGCUGCACCACCGGGUCCUCCAGACUCCCAUGUGAAGAGCCUCCACACCAUAGUGUGGCAUGCCGCGGCUUGAAGCGACUGAGAGCGCGAGGCAAGGCACACGGGCAGGGUGCGUAGGGUCUCAGAAGGCCCUGACCUGAGGCUGGCCAACUUCCUCUCUGCGCCCAUCCAGCAUGCGAGUAACCCCCCCUGCCUACCACCCGCGCGGACGACGCCACCGCUUGUGCCCUCGAGCAGCACCCUGGCCGCGGCCCGCGUUGGAUCGAUGCGUGCAGUCCAUCUGCGUCUCCGUGUGGGGCCGUUCACGGAGCACGCAUGCGGAGAAGGGACGAGGAAGGGAUGAGAAGAGCCCGUUCGGCGCAUGACCCCGAGAUGCAACGGCAGGGCGGCUCGUCCGAGACGACGACGGAUGUAGCUGCAGUGCGGCAGAGGUGGAUGAGCUGUGGCUGAGCGUGCGUAUACGUUUGCCAGCUUGCUGGUGGCAUAACGCCACGUUCGUAGUAAGAAAGCGAGCUUCAUCGACCCUUUAUCUCAAGCACCUGGUGCGUCGUCAUAGCCUCCUUGUCUAGCGCCCCCCCCUCUGCAUCCUUCUCUCCCCGUCUGCUCUCUCUAUCUCUGCUUGCUCGCCAAG
rnacentral:misc_RNA from 1 species